rnacentral:rRNA from 1 species
AGAGUUUGAUCCUGGCUCAGGGCGAACGCGGCGGCGUGCUUAACACAUGCAAGUCGAACGGUAAGGCCCUUCGGGGGUACACGAGUGGCGAACGGGUGAGUAACACGUGAGCAACCUGCCCUUGACUCUGGGAUAACAGUUGGAAACAGCUGCUAAUACGGGAUAUGACUUUCGAUGACAUCAUCUGGAGGUGGAGAGCGCUUUAGCGGUCAAGGAUGGGCUCGCGGCCUAUCAGCUUGUUGGUGAGGUAACGGCUCACCAAGGCUUCGACGGGUAGCCGGCCUGAGAGGGCGACCGGCCACACUGGGACUGAGAUACGGCCCAGACUCCUACGGGAGGCAGCAGUGGGAAUAUUGCACAAUGGGCGCAAGCCUGAUGCAGCAACGCCGCGUGCGGGAUGACGGCCUUCGGGUUGUAAACCGCUUUCAGUUCCGACGAAGCGCAAGUGACGGUAGGAACAGAAGAGGGACCGGCCAACUACGUGCCAGCAGCCGCGGUGAUACGUAGGGUCCGAGCGUUGUCCGGAAUUAUUGGGCGUAAAGGGCUUGUAGGCGGUUUGUCACGUCGGAAGUGAAAACUCAGGGCUUAACCCUGAGCCUGCUUCCGAUACGGGCAAACUAGAGGAAUGCAGGGGAGAAUGGAAUUCCUGGUGGAGCGGUGGAAUGCGCAGAUAUCAGGAGGAACACCGGUGGCGAAGGCGGUUCUCCGGGCAUUUCCUGACGCUGAGAAGCGAAAGCGUGGGGAGCAAACAGGCUUAGAUACCCUGGUAGUCCACGCCGUAAACGGUGGGCACUAGGUGUGGGGAACAUUCCACGUUCUCCGUGCCGAAGCUAACGCAUUAAGUGCCCCGCCUGGGGAGUACGGCCGCAAGGCUAAAACUCAAAGGAAUUGACGG